rnacentral:misc_RNA from 1 species
GACACGAUUUGAGGGUGCUGAUGUCAAUGUUGUGGCGGUGAAGUGCUGCCUGUGGAUGGGGAUUUUUGUAAACAUGCAAAUUCAGGGCACAAAACAAAAUAUUCUUUUGAAUUUGUUUUAAAUGUUUGAAUUAUUUUUCCAAAAAAAAAAAAAGGAAUAUAUAUUUACCGGUAGUUGAUCAAAAUUAAUCUAAGGACCACCAGUUUUAUUAUAUUGUUUUGAUGUGAUUAUUUUUUGGGGGGGCACUGCAGCAUAAAAAUUGAUAUUUCUGUUCUCUCUGCCUUUCACCUUUUCUGAAUUGGUACAGAAAAAUCUUUUACUAGUCAAGUACACUGUACUUUUAAAUUCUGCUGAUUCUUUCUAGUCUCAUGCUAAUAUUUAAGUUACUUGUCCAUCUGUGUGCAAUUGAAACUCACUACUUUUCAAGGUUUUGGGAAAAACUUAAUGUGCAAAAUUACUGUUCGUAUUUGUUUAUGUGGAAAUUAGUUACUUGUUGAGAAUUAAUAUUCAGUGCUACUGUGUUUUUUUUGUUAAACUAUUUUGUGUUCAAUAUUUUUGUAUUAUUCUUCUAUAAAAUGUGGCAUUUCUAAAUUUUAAGUUUUCAAUUGUUCUUUAAUUUGUGCUGCAAAUGAUAUUUAUAUAUGUUAAUGCAUCGUAUGUACAUGUAAUACAAAUUAACAAAAUUAUUUUGAGAUCAUUUUGUGUAUGUUAAUUAGGAAUUCAAGUUUUCAGUAAAACAUGUAUUACUUGUAUUCUUCAGAGCUACAAAUUUUCUUUUGCUAUACAAGUUUAUAUCGAGGAUAAGGAAACAAUAUCAGAAACAUCUUUGGAAGUAUGUUUAAAGAAUACAUUUUUCUUUUAGAAUCUGAGUUUAUAAAUAUGCUUGGAACUUGUAUAGAUCUGCAAUGCAAUAUUUUGCCUUAUGUCAAGAAAUCCAUUAAGAAUAUUUUUUUCAAUCAUGUAGAUCAAUUAAAUGUCGUUUAUAUCCAUUUUUAAUUUUUUUUAAAUGGCAUACAUAUACAUAUAGAUAGACAUUAAUAAUUUUGAUGCGCUUUGAAGGGACCACUGUUAAACUUAUGAAUCAGUUUUCUAUAAUAAAAUGUCUCUUAUACAUACAUGAUUGUGAAAAAUGACAAUGCUGUAUAAUUAGAUAACGAUAUAUGUGGAAGCGAUCGAUUUGGUGUUGAAGACCUGAUGCUAUCUUAUACAAUGUGUGGAUGUUCUCUAUUGCAUUUGUUUAAUACGAUGUAGUCUGUCUACUAUUUACAUGUCCAAGGUGAUGGAAAUUGGGUAUUAUUAUUAUUUUUUUUUUUGAGUUGGUUAAAUGAAGUGAAACUAUGGUCAAAUGUAAACAGACACAAAUGCAGAUACUAGUACAUAUAUAUUAGAUGAAAUUUUAUGUAGAAAAAAAAAUAGCUCAUUUUCAUAUUUAUAAUGUUCAUGUAAAUGUAUUUAUUAUUUUUCCUGUGUCAUAGAAUCAAUAAACAAGGGGUGGGGUGGUGUGGGGUAACUACUAGUGACUGGUGUCUCAUUCGAAGCAAAUCUGUGACUUUCCUCUCAUAAACAUCAUAGACACAGGAACAAAGACCAUAUAUUAUUUUGUCAACCAGAUAACUACUAUACUAUCAGUACAUACAUUUAUUGGGUACUAGUAAAAUUAUUUUUUUUUUGAAAAGUGUGAUUGCACCUUUCACUUUCUAUAUUGCAUUUCUGUUCUGUGUAGUGUAUCUGGUGUGGAUGUGGUAUAAAUGUUCAUUGCGUAAUAAACCAUGACACUGGGUCUGGUUGUGCUGACUUAUGUGACAAAAUAAAAAAA